UACGGAGGAUGCAAGCGUUGUCCGGAAUUAUUGGGCGUAAAGGGCUCGUAGGCGGUCUGUCGCGUCGGGAGUGAAAACUCAGGGCUUAACCCUGAGCCUGCUUCCGAUACGGGCAGACUAGAGGUAUGCAGGGGAGAAUGGAAUUCCUGGUGUAGCGGUGAAAUGCGCAGAUAUCAGGAGGAACACCAGUGGCGAAGGCGGUUCUCUGGGCAUUACCUGACGCUGAGGAGCGAAAGUGUGGGGAGCGAACAGG
rnacentral:rRNA from 1 species